rnacentral:rRNA from 1 species
AUUGAACGCUAGCGGGAUGCUUUACACAUGCAAGUCGAACGAGUGGAGGACGGGUGAGUAAUAUAUCGGAACGUGCCCAGUAGCGGGGGAUAACUACUCGAAAGAGUGGCUAAUACCGCAUACUCUUGGAGCGGCCGAUAUCGGUGUCGCUAUUUGGUGGGGUAAAGGCGCACCAAGGCCACGAUCCGUAGCUGGGUUGAGAGGAUGAACAGCCACACUGGGACUUAGACACGGCCCAGACUCCUACGGGAGGCAGCAGUGGGGAAUUUUGGACAAUGGGGGAAACCCUGAUCCGGCCAUCCCGCGUGUAUGAGAAGGCCUUCGGGUUGUAAAGUACUUUUGGGAGAGAAGCGGUAUCUGCAGAAUAAGCACCGGCUAACUACGUGCCAGCCGCCGCGGUAAUUC